CAGUCCCAUUUACGCUUUUUUCUUUAGUUAUGCUUCCUUGUGGAGAUGGUUGAUUGGAGAUGGUUGAAGGUAGGCAUGACUAUGUAUCAUGCUUCAGCCAAUCAUAGAUGAGCAUCCCUUUGCACCAGAGUAUUUACUUCCGGAUAUUCAAGCCUCAAGUUCCUUCUCCUUUGACCCCCAUUCCAAAAAGAAACCACAAACUGAUCGGGUGACAAAAGUGAGAAGAGACGAGGCAACCGGAAAUCUUCAGGGACCGGUUCCUUCCAAGCCCAGGCCUCUUCUCCCCAGCACAGCGCGGCCUACAGCCUGGACGUGCCAGCAGGGACCCUGACCCUACAGUCAUAACCCUUAAAGUUCAUUUCCUCUGUGUGGCCAUUUUCGGCCAAGAAAUGAAGCUUUAUAUCUACUACUGGGCAAAGACAGAGAGAAGGGAUGGUGAUGGUGAUGGUGAUGGAGAGUCUCCCGGGGAAUUACGAGAGUUGUGGUGGUGUCUCACUAGGCAUUGACGGAGUCUUGUUCUGUCAACAGGCUGGAAGCACAGUGGGCCGUCUCGGCUCUCUGCAGCCUCUGCCUCCCUGGUUCAAGUGAUCCUUCUGCCUCAACCUCCCGAGUAGCUGAGACUACAGGCGUGUGCCAUCACGCCCAGCUAAUUUUUGUAUUUUUAGUAGAGACGGGGUUUCACCAUGUUGGCCAAGAUGGUCUUGAUCUCUUGACCUCAUGAUCCUCCCACCUCGGCUUCCCCAAGUGCUGGUAUUACAGGCGUGAGCCACUGCACCUGGCCAGAAUAUGUAUUCUUAAUUAUUGUGUCUGCUCAGAUUCAGUGUAAAUUGUUCCCACAUCAUUAGAAAGUGCCGUGUUUACACAACAAUGGAAGUUUUGUUUAUUUUUUUCCAUGUGGAACUGAAAUUAUUCACAGGUCACAGUUAGGAGAAAAAAGAAACAUCCAGAUGGACGAUCCUUUAUUUUCUCAGCUGGAUGGUGUGUAUGUCUGUGGAAUGUAUCUGUGCAAAUAGCAAACUUUUACAUUCAGGAAGUGAUAUUUCAGAACAAGCUUUUGUAAAACAGUACUUUUUGUAGUUUGGGGUGAAGCCAAGGCAAAAUUUAGAUUCCUUCUAUUUCAUAAAUGAACUCUAUAAUAAACAAAAUGAAGUCUAUGAAGUCGAUUUACAAUAUGGUUAUUGUAUGGGAUUUGACAUCACUGUAAAGUAUUACGUUGGACAAAAAUAAUGCUGCUGAAAAUACUUGCUGCCAGUGGCUCUCAGAAUUAUAAGGAAAGGCAAUUGGUAGUGAAUUCUUUUAACUUGGAAUUCAAAUCUCAGGACUGAAUGUUGUCCAUUAUUGGAGUUCAAAGGCAACUAUCUCUAGAAUUGUUCUUUUAAUGCUUGUUGGAUGGUUUUAGUUGUUUUUUUUCUUGUAGGCACACAAUUGUUGUCUUGAUCUUCGUGAUAAAAAGCGUUCUCUGGGUCUUUGUAGUGAACCCAGUUGGCCUGGUAACAUGCCUGUAGUCAGAAUUCCAAAGUGGGGAAACAAAGGCUUAGAAAUUAUUGGCUGAGAACUGUUUGUUCAGAACUGUGGGAAUCUUACCCUGGCCUGUGGAACCAAUGGACUCUCUUCAUUAGAUCCACAUUCAUCCAGAAAUGCCCCGAUUCCUUGCCCUUUUGUCUUUUCCCAAACUAGAGCUUUAACCACAAUAAAAACAAAUGUGGCAA